AACGAACGCUGGCGGCAUGCCUAACACAUGCAAGUCGAACGAGACCUUCGGGUCUAGUGGCGCACGGGUGCGUAACGCGUGGGAACCUGCCCUUAGGUUCGGAAUAACUCCCCGAAAGGGGUGCUAAUACCGGAUAAUGUCUUCGGACCAAAGAUUUAUCGCCUUUGGAUGGGCCCGCGUUGGAUUAGCUGGUUGGUAGGGUAAAAGCCUACCAAGGCGACGAUCCAUAGCUGGUCUGAGAGGAUGAUCAGCCACACUGGGACUGAGACACGGCCCAGACUCCUACGGGGAGCAGCAGUGGGGAAUAUUGGACGAUGGGCGAAAGCCUGAUCCAGCAAUGCCGCGGGAGUGAUGAAGGCCGUAGGGUUGUAAAGCUCUUUUACCCGGGAUGAUAAUGACAGUACCGGGAGAAUAAGCUCCGGCUAACUCCGUG
rnacentral:rRNA from 1 species